rfam:Salmo salar isolate Sally breed double haploid chromosome ssa16, whole genome shotgun sequence.
AAUGCACCAAUUUGUAAGUCGCUCUGGAUAAAGCGUCUGCUAAAUGACGUAAA